GACGGACGCUGGCGGCGUGCUUAACACAUGCAAGUCGAACGGAAAGGCCCUGCUUUUGUGGGGUGCUCGAGUGGCGAACGGGUGAGUAACACGUGAGUAACCUGCCCUUGACUUUGGGAUAACUUCAGGAAACUGGGGCUAAUACCGGAUAGGAGCUCCUGCUGCAUGGUGGGGGUUGGAAAGUUUCGGCGGUUGGGGAUGGACUCGCGGCUUAUCAGCUUGUUGGUGGGGUAGUGGCUUACCAAGGCUUUGACUGGUAGCCGGCCUGAGAGGGUGACCGGCCACAUUGGGACUGAGAGACGGCCCAGAGUCCUACGGGAGGCAGCAGUGGGGAAUAUUGCACAAUGGGCGGAAGCCUGAUGCAGCAACGCCGCGUGCGGGAUGACGGCCUUCGGGUUGUAAACCGCUUUCGCCUGUGACGAAGCGUGAGUGACGGUAAUGGGUAAAGAAGCACCGGCUAACUACGUG
rnacentral:rRNA from 1 species